UUUCCGGUUGUCUAGUGGCUAAGACUCUACACUCUCAAUGCAGGGGGCCUGGGUUCAAUACCUAGUCAGGAAA
rnacentral:tRNA from 1 species